rnacentral:rRNA from 1 species
GAUGAACGCUGGCGGCGUGCUUAACACAUGCAAGUCGAACGGUGAAGGCGGAGCUUGCUCUGCUGGAUCAGUGGCGAACGGGUGAGUAACACGUGAGCAAUCUGCCCCUGACUCUGGGAUAAGCGCUGGAAACGGCGUCUAAUACUGGAUACGAGCUGCGAAGGCAUCUUCAGCAGCUGGAAAGAACUUCGGUCAGGGAUGAGCUCGCGGCCUAUCAGCUUGUUGGUGAGGUAACGGCUCACCAAGGCGUCGACGGGUAGCCGGCCUGAGAGGGUGACCGGCAACAGUGGGACGGAGAUACGGACGAGAGUACUACGGGAGGCAGCAGUGGGGAAUAGUGCACAAUGGGCGGAAGCCUGAUGCAGCAACGCCGCGUGGGGGAGGACGGCCGUCGGGGUGUAAACCGAUUUCGCCGGUGAAGAAGCGUGAGUGAAGGGAAUGGGUAAAGAAGAACCGGCUAACUACGUG